rnacentral:lncRNA from 1 species
UAUACUCCAAAUGAACUACCUAAAAAGCAGCAAAUUGUCCUAGACUAUGAAAACCAUUAAACAUUAAACUUAAUACUCUAAAUGUCAAUAUUUAAGUGCUACUCUAAAAAAUGUUUCCCCUAAAGAGGUAAAGAAAAAUUCUUGAACCCUAGAGUUUAAAGUCCAAUGAAUUUUGUUUUUCAAAAAUGAUAAAUAUAAUCCUAAACCUGUGCAUAACUCUUCCUAAUUCUCAAAGUGACCGCAAAUCCUACAUGAGAAAACAUGAGAAACUUCCUAGAUGUCAUAAUGGAAGGCCUGACUCAAAUUAUUGGCCAAGGCUGC